ensembl:lncRNA
CCUGCUGGUGUAAACAUACCUCUGAUUGGGACUCACUGAUGUAAUGGACAAACAAGCACAAAAUGUGUCGAUAUCCAGAUCAAAUCUCCCAGACACUUAACUGUGUGUUCUACUUACCCGUUCGGGUCUCUCCAGCCUGAGACGGAAGCUCUAGUGGUGUUGGUUGUGUUCUGGAAGACCUGAGGGACACAACGGCUACCAUGCACAUCUGCAUCCUGUAUGUGGCUGAGGGGGGUUCCCAGCUGAACUUGGCUGAGGUCAGUGUCUGGUCAAAUGGAGUCGGGCCUGUGUGUCUGUGGGGGUGCAGAUGAAGUGGUCAGCGGUGUGACAGUUAGCGGGGAUUCUGACAGCCCCAGGUCCAGUGUGGAUUAGAGAGCCUCACGGAUUUAUGAAGAAUCCAGAAAUGUGUGUCAUCAUUAUGGAAAAAGGUCUUUAACCAGUCCAACUCUUGGCAGGUACAGAAUACUAAAGGACCAUUUUAUUUCUAAAUGAGUCUGGAUGGCGCACCACAAAUACUGGAAAUGCUACUGCCCUUUCAUUUUAAAUGGCUAUCGGGUUCAUCCUACACAUAAAACCCAUCACAGAAAAUGAAUAUAAGCGGUAGGAGAAGAGACUGGAGAUGUGAACUGUCCCUCUGGAACGGGCUGCCAUUAAGUUUACUAAAAAUGUCUGAUGGUUUCACCCAGACAGUUAGGAGAGCUGUGUCUAAACGGGAUCCAGAUCUCUGCUUACUAAUUCCUGUGAUCCACCUGCUCUGAAGCCCAGUCGUUGUGGCCGAGUGUUCUGCACUACAGAUGGCGCUGGAUGAGGGAAGCUGGGUCAUGCUGAAGGACUGACCACAGUGCUUCAUCAUACCGAGGGAAAGUGACCCCAAAGGUCACAGCACACACACAGGCUUAAUUUUAGAGCAAUUAAUCUCCUCUCAAGAGAGUUUUAUGUGUGAGCAUGUGUGUGGGUGUGUCGCUGUGCUGUAGUUAGAGCCGGCCGUCAGCUGUCCGGCCAAGGUGGAGGCCCAACCAUCUUAUCGUCCAGGAGAAGCUUAAUAUGAGGAGAUUAGAUGGCACGGAGGAGAUUACUGCUUGGCCUUUAAUGCAUCGUUCUCUUACCUAACAGGAACCUGAUCUAAAUCCACCACAGGGUAACAAGGCCAUCACUCUGUCCAACAUACACAAGAGGACAUGUAACGUACACACACAUAGAUACACAACAGAUGAUGAGUGGGUGGCAAAAAAACAAACAAAAAAAAGCUCAGAUGAAACAGCAAUGGAAAUGAAAGAGGUGGAGCUUUCAGUGAGAGAGAGUGAAAGAGUGAGGUGGGAUGGAAGAGGUGUUCCCCAUAUAAAAGCCUCUUCACUGGUUUGGAAAAUUAGCUGGGCCCUGUGGUCUACUGGAGCCUUUUAUUUAUUGAUGUAAAGAAAGAUAACCACGCCACCUUCCGUAUUCGCUCCAUUUGCAUGAGCGAGGGAAGAUUAGGAGUGAAAAUCAAACCAAAUAAAUAAAUCCCUCUUUUUCCCUCUCUUCACCUCCCCUUCCCUUCCCAGAUACACACUCAUCCCUCUGCCAUAAUAAACGUUUUGCAAAAAGUCGCAACAAAGUUUAUUUUUCAGACAAUCACUGCCAGACUAUUCAGUGGAUGUAUGCUAUAUUAAUCUCAAAGCUCAAAGAACUUUGUUUAUUGGCUGCAAAGGUUGGAAAGUAAAAGCUGCCCAACGUAACCAUCAAAUUAAACUGGUAUAAACAACCGUGCUGUAAAUGCACGCUUGUAUAUGUGAGUGGUGUACAGUAUUUAAGAAUAGCAGUGUUUUAGCAGCUUAACAUCUUCUGCAGAAUUUUGAAAGUCACGUAUCCAUUCACGAGUCUCACACUGAUGUCUAAAUGGGGUCCAGUCUCAGAGAAGUGUAAAGCAGAAGGGAAUCUAAUCAGUUUUGCUUGCUCUGAAUGCCGGUUUGAAUGUGUUUGAGUAACAGUGCUAAAUCCACCUUCUAAUGUCUCUUCAUCACAUUGGUUUCUCACUUUCUCCUGAGCAGGAAACCAAUAAAUAUUUUAGCACUAACUGAAUUAAGAAUGCCCUUUAAAUUCCAAUUUAAUUCUGGAUUUGAAUUAAGGUAGCAAACAAGAUGCAAAAUUGCAAUUUCAAUUUGAAUAGAAGGCAGUAUAGAAUUAAAUGAAUUUAAGUUCAAAGAAAUUCUUGUUGCUAGUGUUAUUUAACAUUAUUUAUAUACAUAAUAUAAAUUGAGUUUAAUUUUAAUAUGUUGGUACUUAUUUCAUUUGACAGGGCAACAUUUGUAAUUUUUGUUAAAGAUUUGUUUUUUCAUAUAAUAUUUAUACUUUAUUGCAUUUCAACUAAACUUCAAAUAGGAAAAAAACUAUUCUAAUAUUGUAUUGGUGUAAUUUUUUACUAGAAAAUAAAAGUUUGCAAAGACACUUUAAAUAUUGGGUUGACAAAGCUGUUGUAAAGUUUAAAAAAUUCUAAAAAGCAUUGGAAUUUGAAGGCCUAAUAUAUAGAAUAGAUGGAAGGACAGAGAGCAUUUCCAAGAAUUUUGAUUGAUUGAUUGAUUGAUUGAUUGAUUGAUUGAUUGAUUGAUUGAUUGAUUGAUUGAUUGAUCAUUAAAUUCCUAUCAUUCCAUUUCAAAUUCCAUGUCAACUUUCUAUGGGGUUUGGCUAAUUUGAUUCAAAUUUAAUCUCAUGAAUUCUUUAAUUUUGUACAACCCUUACAUGGACAUCCAGAGAAGAGGGGCUUUAAAAAUUAGGCCACUAAUGCUUUCAUCCACCCUUAUGUGUGGAUGAAAAGAGGCUCUGAGUGUGUAUGUGUGUGCCGGGAUGCAAGAGUACACUGCUCCUCCUCCAGGAUUCCUCUUCGGGGCAGAAAAUGGGCAUGUGCUUGUGGUCCAGUGAAGCCCAGCCUGAGCUCAGCUCUUGCACCUCUGCCCCGCUCUGCCUCCAGAUGUGGCCUCAGCGGCUUUUUCUCGUGUGGAUUGAAUUCAGCAUUAUGUCUUUGCACAGUGUCCUCUUCUAUUUUCUCCUCUCCGUUCUUCUUUGCUGUCCUCUCCUCAUUGUUCUUUCAGCUCAUCCGGCUAAUGAACCAGUACAAGUACAAAGUACAUUUUAUAAGAGAGAUAGCCAAAUAUUCACAGGGGACAUAAAACCCCACAUAACAACAGCACAGAUGGAGCAGAAGCACAUGACACACAGCCCCCGUUCAGAAAAAAACAAAAAAAAUAUGAUGAUUGUCUAUAUCAAACAGCCUCUUUUUCUACCUACUAUUACUGUCUCUUUUUGUCUUCUCUUGUCCACCUGUGUCCCAGCAGCAAUUAAGGACCCUGGUGGAUCCAAUCAAGGAAUCACACGAAUGGCUGAAUAUGGUGGACUUGUGAAAGAUCAGGGCAUUCAGGCUGGUGACAUUCCUCCUGGCGAGCAGAUCCAUCCUGGGCCGGGGGUGAAAAAUGCAGCACCGCGCUACUGCUCAGCUGCAGAUGAAUGGAGCUAUCUGUCUUGUCACGAGGGGUCGGCUGGAGAGGUUACAGCCCAACUGUACCUGGUCUCUGAUGCUGAUGCCUGCACGCCGCUUCCCUUUACAAGAGAAGAAACAUAAAAACAGAAGAGAGGGAGAGACAGAGAGAGGGAGAAACAAAUCCUGCCCCAUCAAGCACUUCUUCAGUCCCUCCAGAGCCCAUCUCACUUCCCAUCAUCCCGAAGUCCUGCUGCCCUGAGCGCAGGCUUUGACACAUCUAUAUGUUUUUCCUUCUGACCUUUCAACGUCCUUUCUGUCAGUGCCUGUAAACCAUAAGCUGAUGUAUGAGGGCAAUUUUUAGCGGUGCCACUUGUAUCUGAGUGAUUGCGCACACUUUACAUUUGGGGGGUCUGCCACCCUGCCACCUCCUCAACAUCUCUUUAUUUGCUUUGCUUGAUAUUGAGGCAGAGAAACUGAGGGGAAGGAAUAAAAAGAGUGGAUGGGGAGGGGACGGUGGAGCCCAUUCAACCUCUGGGCAACAGGUCUGUACUUUAUCAGUCCAGCGAGCUGAGCCCUCAGGCCAGGCCUGACCAAUCACUCCUUGGAAACAGGUACUUGAACAAACAUCAACAUCAGUGAGACAGACUCCUGUACAAAGGGUUUCAGUGGAAUACUGACUUUCACUGGAAUUCUGAUCUCACAUAUUAAUGUCUAAUCCAAAUACCUGUCAUUUCAAACAGGGGGCCUAUUUUAAAAUAUUAUUUAAAACUAUACAAGUAUCCCAAUGAUACUAAAAUGACACUGAUACAAUGGCAAUAAAAAAGUGAGGAAACAACAUGACUUUAACUGAAUAAAAAAUUAUAUUUUUUUCUCAUACAUUAUAAAUGUAAUUAUAUAUGUAUUUUGAAGGGAGUCCCUCACAAGGGCAUCAUCAUAUUUGUGGGUCUUUGGUAUUAAAAACUUUAAAAACCUGCUCAAAUCUGAUUGAAUGAGUGUUGUAAGACUGUACAAUAUUUUGUCACACUUUACUUUAGUUCUCUUGUUUUAACAUUGAUCUGUAACACAGUAGCUUAAUCUGUCAUGUCUGUUAAUAAAUUUUGCCAUUGCUCUCAGAAAUGUUCAAAUUCUUAUGUGUCUACAAUCUCCAAGCAGUGUCUACCAUAAUCCAAAGAAUUAACGGUGCUGUUCAUGUCCUGUGGUAGAUGCUGCAGAAAACUUGUGUGCACAAGCAUCACAGUGUCCCAUUAUCCUCGGUGUUCGCCACUGACAACAUUUUCUGGUGACAUAUGUUUACUGUCACAUCCUGAACACUUGGGUCAGCUGCCUCUCUACUCUUCUCAUCACAAACUCUGACAGCCUAACAAAGCAGUCAUUAGACAGCCUCUCAGACACGACUAGCACACCCCCUUUGCUUUAGGGAAAACUAGCAUAAUGAAAUAAAAUGCAGAGAGGACUUAGCAUCCGCCCAAAACAAACACGCACGAAACAAAACCUCCCUCAUCUCUUUCAGAUUUUCUUUUUUCUUUCCCUCCUCUGGUUCUUGAUCUCCAUAUUUAGCAUUAUGACAUUUUAAUUUGUGCAUCUUCAAAAUAGCACUGUCAGUGGUAUAAAUAUGGAGUACCACUCCUGUGAGAAAAGCCUUUAUACUUUAGUAGGUUAAAACUAAUACAAACAAAACUGGAAUUAUUAAUUAUAAAAAAGGAGAGAGAGGGAAAGAGAGAGAACGAGAGAGACGAAAUCCCCAGAUUUCAAUAUUAUUUGCAUUUCGAUUUUGAGCCUGAUUUUGAGCAACUUGACUGUUUUCCCUCCUCUUGCUUUCUCUCUAAUAUCUUGCAGGAUCAAAGGCUUUCAUUAGGUUUAACUCCUCCAAGCAUUGUUUGCCUCCCAGGACUACAACACAGUUCCCUCAGUGUGCCAGAUUCAGAAGAAUAAAGAAUUAGUUAUUCCUGGACUAAUUUGACAUCAAACAGUGGAGAGGAAGAUAAAAGUGACAAUGGUGACCGGGGAACAUUGGCCAUGUGUUUCCACAGGCCCCCAGGGCAGUCAACCUCACACUCUCGCACCUAGAAAAUACCUUUUAGAUGAAGAUGAUGGCUAAUAAUAG